UUCACCAUGGCAUUGGUCAAGUGUCCACAUGACAUUGGUCAAGUGUCCAGAUACCAUGCAAUCUCCACAGUCCAAAAGUAAAGCGUUCAGGAGAUGUACCUGACUUGCAUGGAACUUUUGGUACUCCUAAUCACGUUUCUCUCAGCUGCAGAGAUUUCCCGGGAGUUUUAAACAUCCCACCACUGGAAGACGAGGAGGCUCCAUCUCAGCUCCAGAGCGGGUGUAGACUAGCGGCUAUGAUCUCUCCCCCUGCACACUCAAAAGACAGGAUCCUGCUCCCCUAUGUCAGACUCUUUCGCACACCCUCAGAAGCAGCAGUACUGAGCAGUAAUCCAUAAUACCAUCCAGAACAUAAUCCGGUCCAGCUGCAGAGGAUCAUCUUUGUCCCAGUUGAAGAACAGACAACUGGGAAAAGAUCCAGUAUGUUCUCUAUCAUUCAAGUGCACAAGAAUGUGAAGAGCGGGGCCCACUGUAAACCAUUCCCUCUCAUUUUGGACCAGAAGGCUCCUGCAGGGGUCCAGGAUCGAUGGCAUCUUUUUGACAAAGCUUGGAAAGAGCCCAAACUGCUCUUGGCUUCGACCUGGACUGCCACCCUAGUAUCCACCAUGAAGCACAAAAAUACAUGUUGGCCUCCUGACUACAGAGAAUGGUGGUUACAGGAAGGUGAAGAACUUGAUGGCCACACUCACACUCAGACCCUAAAGCACAGGGCCCACUGAAAGAUCCUUGCAACAAAUAAGAGUAGACAAGUGAACAAUACUUUUGUCCUAUAAUUUUCCUGAAUCCUAAACAUCAUAAUUUGGUAUCAUUAUGGGGACUGUAUGGUGGAGCCAUAGGCACUCUGUGCUGCCUUAUGGUGCCACCACACAGCACUGUGCACUGUAUUCUCCUCAAAUAGUAAUUCUAGAUGCAAUACAUAAACCAUUCCAUUUAUGUUAUUUUAGGUUGGAUUCAGGAUUCAGGUACAUUGUGAGGAUGAAUAUUUCUUACCUUCAGCGACCAAAAGAUAAGCUGCAGAGAAAAACAAGAUAUAAAAAAGCUUCAUGAUGCUCAGGUCAGUCUAAGUGUAUGUGUCUGGUUGUGAGUGUUUAAAUACUGUAAAAAGUUAUCUAGAAAAUCUACCACAAAUUGACUAAUUUAGCAUAAAUGAAAAUACACUGUAUUCCCACGUAUUUGGUGGUUUCAUUUAGUAAUAUUUUUAAAUCUGGUCCUAAAAGUUCCCAAGAAACUUAACCACAUGAACAGAAAUAAAAACAUUCAGACAAAUAUUGUUCAAAUCUUGUAAAAUAUUAAAACAAAUAAAUAACUUCACAAUUCAAUAUAUAAGGACAGUUGGAAAAUGAGUAUACAAUACAGAGGGUCUUUGGUGCUAUAAAACCCUAGUAGCAUUCAGUCCAUAUCAUUUGAGAGGAGCGAAUCAAAUUGGACAAAGUCGAACUCGUUCCGAAUUUCAUGAAAAAUUUGAUCCGGACCGAAUCUGAACUUUGACUCGAUUUGAAAUAACGAAUUUCCUCAUUAGCAACACCCUCUGUGAUUGUACUGUAUAAUGUAUAGAUGCGAGCGGC